GGGCUCAGUUGAUUGAGCGUCUGACUCUUGAUUUCGGCUCAGGUCAUGAUCCCAGUGUGGUGUGGGAUAGAGCCCCUGUUGGGCUCUGUGCUGA